AUUGAACGCUGGCGGCAGGCCUAACACAUGCAAGUCGAGCGGAUGAGAGGAGCUUGCUCCUUGAUUUAGCGGCGGACGGGUGAGUAAUGCCUAGGAAUCUGCCUGGUAGUGGGGGAUAACGUUCCGAAAGGAACGCUAAUACCGCAUACGUCCUACGGGAGAAAGCAGGGGACCUUCGGGCCUUGCGCUAUCAGAUGAGCCUAGGUCGGAUUAGCUAGUUGGUGAGGUAAUGGCUCACCAAGGCGACGAUCCGUAACUGGUCUGAGAGGAUGAUCAGUCACACUGGAACUGAGACACGGUCCAGACUCCUACGGGAGGCAGCAGUGGGGAAUAUUGGACAAUGGGCGAAAGCCUGAUCCAGCCAUGCCGCGUGUGUGAAGAAGGUCUUCGGAUUGUAAAGCACUUUAAGUUGGGAGGAAGGGCAUUAACCUAAUACGUUAGUGUUUUGACGUUACCGACAGAAUAAGCACCGGCUAACUUCGUGCCAGCAGCCGCGGUAAUACGAAGGGUGCAAGCGUUAAUCGGAAUUACUGGGCGUAAAGCGCGCGUAGGUGGUUCGUUAAGUUGGAUGUGAAAGCCCCGGGCUCAACCUGGGAACUGCAUCCAAAACUGGCGAGCUAGAGUACGGUAGAGGGUGGUGGAAUUUCCUGUGUAGCGGUGAAAUGCGUAGAUAUAGGAAGGAACACCAGUGGCGA
rnacentral:rRNA from 1 species